UAUGUCUUAGUAUAUGGCGUACAAAAGCUUUUGAUGUUUUUAGGAAUAGUUUAACUCUAUUAGACGUAA
rnacentral:tRNA from 1 species